rnacentral:rRNA from 1 species
AUCGAACGCUGGCGGCAGGCCUAACACAUGCAAGUCGAAUGGUAACAGGAAACAGCUUGCUGUUUCGCUGACGAGUGGCGGACGGGUGAGUAAUGUCUGGGAAACUGCCUGAUGGAGGGGGAUAACUACUGGAAACGGUAGCUAAUACCGCAUAACGUCGCAAGACCAAAGAGGGGGACCUUCGGGCCUCUUGCCAUCAGAUGUGCCCAGAUGGGAUUAGCUAGUAGGUGGGGUAACGGCUCACCUAGGCGACGAUCCCUAGCUGGUCUGAGAGGAUGACCAGCCACACUGGAACUGAGACACGGUCCAGACUCCUACGGGAGGCAGCAGUGGGGAAUAUUGCACAAUGGGCGCAAGCCUGAUGCAGCCAUGCCGCGUGUAUGAAGAAGGCCUUCGGGUUGUAAAGUGCUUUCAGCGGGGAGGAAGGGAGUAAAGUUAAUACCUUUGCUCAUUGACGUUACCCGCAGAAGAAGCACCGGCUAACUCCGUG